ACAUCGCCCACUUCGUGGAAACAUGCAACGACGCUGGGACGUAUGGAGAUCUUCUUGUCAAGCAGUUCGUCCGCUCUUUGAAGGCACUGAAUUUAAUU